rnacentral:rRNA from 1 species
AUUCCAGCUCCAAGAGCGUAUAUUAAAGUUGUUGCAGUUAAAAAGCUCGUAGUUGGAUUUCUGGUCUAAUGCGCCUGGCCCGCUGCCGUUAGGUAUGUGAGUGCCGGUGCGCGUUUACCAUCCUUCCAGAGAACACUUCUACCAUUUAUUUGGACGGAUGUUGUCUUCUGGAUCUUUUACUUUGAAAAAAUUAGAGUGUUUAAAGCAGGCCUUUGCUGUGAAUACAUUAGCAUGGAAUAAUAAUCUAGGACUUCGGUUCUAUUUUGUUGGUUUCUAGUACUGAAGUAAUGAUUAACAGGGACAGUUGGGGGUAUUCGUAUUUAAUUGUCAGAGGUGAAAUUCUUGGAUUUAUGAAAGACGAACGACUGCGAAAGCAUUUACCAAGGAUGUUUUCAUUA